GGAAGUGUAAGGACCAGUGAUUGGCUCAGGACUGAGCAUCUGGUGCUGCCCUUUAAAUGUCAAUUCCAUCUUCAUAUAAGCUGUGGCCAACAGAGAAUAUUCCAGGAAAGUGACCAUGAAGAGGUUUGGGGUGAAGAAUAGAAAAUCCAUAUUUUUAUUUUAUUUUAUAUAAAGUUAAAAAAAAUGUCCAAACUGUAUAGAGAUUGUCAUCAUGCAAGUCAGUCCCUGUCCCUACUGGGGCUCACAAUCACUGCUCCUGCCUGUGUCCGUGCAGUUUGGCUAAAUCCUGGCAUAGUACAUCAUUACCUGUGCCACUUGGUUCACCCCCAAAACACGUUGGCCACGCACCCAACUCUGCUAGGCCACACCCCUACUGCUGACAAAGAUUUUAAAAAAACGGCUGGAAGAACAUCGGAUUUUAGAAAAAUAGGCAGUGGGUGGUAUAAAAUAACUUUAUUCACCACCACUCCGAUCCUCACCGUGCCUGGAGCAGGCCUGUACCAUUCAUGUGACCACUGCAACCCGUCUGCGGCCUCUAAUCACAAGCUGUUUAGGUCAGUAUUGUUUUUUUUUCUUUAUUUUAUACCCAGUGUUCUUUAUUUGAUUAUUACGAUAACUUUAGUAUUCUUAUAUACUUGAUUUAGGUCUGUUUCUAUUUUCCUAUCAUUGGCUGGAAUAGCAUUUUCUUAUUAUGAGCAAGAAAAUUAAAUCAUUUGGUCUUAUGAAACUGCCUUACAGUCCAGCGGAAACAAAAGUUGGCGUUCUCUAUGCAUUCUAGAUUUUCCCUGUGGACCCAAUAUUUAAUCUAAGUAUGCAAAUGACUCAAAAAUAAGUUGUCUUCAUCCAUUGAGGGAUUAGAGCUCCAUCAAUGUGGUCAAAAUUAAAAUUUUGCAGUCAGAGGCUGCUUUGGGGAUGGAGGCCCUAGGCCAGGGCUGGCCAACCUGCGGCUCUCCAGCUGUUGCAAAACUACAACUCCCAGCAUGCCCAGACAGCCUACAACUAUCAGCCUACAGCCGGGCAUGGUGGGAAUUGUGAAACGACCAUCCCGUUUCUCUCGGUCCAAUGAUCCUCCUCCUCUCGAAGUCUGUCAAGUGGGCAAAAUGUAUUUAAGUGUGUCAUAAAGGCAUGUCUAGCGCCGGUGUCCACAUGUCUUUCACCCCAGUACAGGCCUGAUGAAGGGCUGCUUAUAGCCUGAAACGUUGCCUGAAACUACUGUUAUAAAUGUCAUGUGCGGCUGAAUAAAAGUCACUGAUUAUCGCAAUAUCUGUCUAUGGAGUGCUGUCUAACGAUAUACACAUAUUAAAGGGAAUGUUCCUGAGGUGGAGCUAGGAACGAAACUAGGCGUGCACCCAAAGUGCUGUGAUCGCUUGAAGUGAACCAUAAAGGCAUGACUAGCAGUCACCGAUUUCUCACCAAGAGUACACUACCCAAAAGUGCCCUCUGAGAGCUUUUUUAUAUGGCCACAAGGGAAGUCAUUUUACGCCCUCGUGUGGCAAGAUUCAGUGUUUAAUCAGACCACACCUGUAAUCAUUACAUAUCUGCCUGAGAUAUAACUGUAUGUGGAGUUUUUCAGCAAUCCGACAUUUCUGGGUUUGUAAUUUUUUUGGUCAUUGAGUGAAAAAAUCAAUUUAUUAUGCAUAAAAAAUACAGUGGUUCUUGAAAGCUUGUGACUCUCACCUACAGUGGAAUCCUUCAAAAGAAACCUGAAAACCCAUCUCUUCA